CUCUCUCCCUCCACUCACGCUCGCCGCCUUCGAUGAACUCGGCGGGAAUCGCGUAUUCUUCUGAGGUGAGUCAAGAUGGCGCUAACAGAUUCGGUAUCGCUCUAUUAGGAUGAAUAUCAGCUGCAUUCCAGUACCCAAGGUAACUUCGAAGGGCUUUUUGAUCGAGAAUGAGCCCUGGAGUCCUUUACUGUUCGCAAUAUUGCCCAGUAAUUUAGGUUUCUUAUUGGAAGUUUGUCGCAACGCAUGUGUGAUCGCGUAUGGACGUUCGUUGCCGUCCCGUGUUUGAUUUCGACGGUAUUAUAAAUGUGCGAUCUGGAUCGAAUAGAAACGUUGGUCUUCAACAUGUGACCUAGCUCUUAAGUGACUCGAUGCCAUGUUUCUGCAGGGGCACUCUAGUUGUAUCUAUAAUUUCUCUCUUUAGUUCUCCUUCUUGAGCUAAGGUUUGAUCAUUGCUUCAGAUGUUUACAGUCUCGUCUGCGUUCUCGUGUGUUUUGUGUGCUUAUUCUAUUUUGUGACAAUUGUGGUUAGGAGGAACGCCACUUAAGUUUCACUGAUGCUUGAAUUAUUUUGCCUUAACCACCGAAUUACUAAUCAAUUUAUAAUUUAUAUUACGUCAUAUGUCUUGUCUAGGGGAUUUGGAAUGUGCUUUUCGAGUGUAAUGCUACUCUUUAAUUAAAAUCUUAUGGAGUUACCUAUUUGAUUAUGUUCUUUUUUCACGAUCUUCUGAUAUGCGGGAGGAGGUGCUCAUUUAUCAUAAAUUUUUUUAUUAUAAUUAACCGUAUCUCAUUUUUGUAAAAAACUUCAGUAAACUUAUGUACUUAGAACGAAAAAUUAAAUUCACAAGAUCUAUAGUUAAACCAGCUGCUCAUGUGGUCACUCGUAGGAUCGGCUCAAAUCGUUGUUUCGGUCCAGUCUGCUGUGCUUUUGAAACACAGAUAGGAAGUUUAUUUCAUAUCCAUGGACAUUUGAAUGCCAGUACCCUCAUACUUCACCUAGGGCCAUAUCUUUUUAAGUUGGGUCUUGUUUGACAAUUUUUUGGUGGUCGGCAUUGCCUCGCUUUAGAGUGCCUCUGAAGAGUAGCAAUCAUGUGGUAUAAAAAAAAUAGAAAAAAUGGAAAAAAAUAAGGUUGUCUUUCUUGAUGUUUUAUGUGGUAGUAGAUAUGUGCUUUUAUUACUUUCCCUGGUCAUCGAGUGGAAAUACUCUUUGUCGCCUGCCUCUUCUCCUUGUAUAUACCUUUAUUUUCCUUUUGGAUGUAUUCAUUGUUGAGAUGUGUAAGGUCACUACCAUAUUCUGGGCAACUAUUCUAUAGUUUUGCGCAAUGGAUGACUGAAAUUAUUUGAUAGUAGAUGCAUCCCCAAUGCGUAAUGUUGUUUCAACCGAUUAGUCGUAAUGGUUAUCUGUGUAUUAUUGCCGAUUUUAGUUCAAUAUCUAGUCCAGAUUUGUAGUGUUUUCAAAAGGGUGAACGAACAUCGAUUUUAUUGGUGUUGAAAAAACACUUCAAAUGCCUGGAUAUCAUUGGAAGAAGGUUUUAUUGGAUAAUACAUGACUUGCGAGUUUUAAGCCUAAUUGGUGCCAUGCCAGUAUAUUUUUCUUUGACCAUGAAAAUUUGUAAUUUGAUGCUUUAACCACCCCUUACACUAACAGAGUCUUAUGCUUUUUAAUGCAGCAUACCAAAUGGAUGAGGAUGGAGUGGUAAGUUAUCUCAACAUCAACAUCUUAAUUUUGCCUUCUAUGAAUAUUAUGAUUUGGAUUCCGUACUGCUUUUAAUAAUGUAUUUUUGGAACUUGUUCAAUGGUAUGACUCCGAUAAUAACAUAUCAGCGACGUCAUAAGAAGUUUCCCAACUGACAGAAGGUGAACCGACGGGGUCAGUAACCGACAGAGGAGUGGGACCGACGGGGUCAAUAACAGACAGAGGAGUGGGACCGGUCCCAAGAAACGGUUAGUGGUAAUGGCAAACGAGAGACCAAUGAGGUAUAAGUAGGGAGGGAGGUUGGCAAGAGGGGGCAUCCGGAGAGAACGGACAAAGUGGAGAGUAGGAGGAUCUCUCGAAUAUCCUCUAAGGUGAUCAGUCACUCUGACUGGUCAUUUCUACCCUCAGUGUUCUUGUUCUAUUGUACCUUGUUUCUUUGUUCUAGG
rnacentral:lncRNA from 1 species